rnacentral:tRNA from 1 species
CAGGGAGACAACAAAAUGUUUAAUAUUAUUUUGUCACCUUAGGUCGAUCGGUAUCUCACAUUUUUAAUUUAUUAAGAAUUUCAUUUCCUAAGUUUUUUCUAGGUCACACCCAUUACUUUUCCUGGGCCAUUAGCUCAGGUGGUUAGAGCGCACCCCUGAUAAGGGUGAGGUCCCUGGUUCAAGUCCAGGAUGGCCCAUAUCUCUAUGUUGGGGGUAUAGCUCAGUUGGUAGAGCGCCUGCUUUGCAAGCAGGAUGUCAGCGGUUCGAGUCCGCUUACCUCCACUGAUUACCACCUCUUCCAUAAUUUUUAUUAAGGAAAUGUUUUGAGUAGUGAUCAAAUUCUGAACGAAUCUAGCUUCCUAAUUGAAUCAUUAAGAUGCUGGACUCAUUGAAUAAAUUUCAUUGUUUUCAGAGAACCUUGACAACUGCAUAGAUUAUUUUUAAAGACAAUAAGCAUCUUUAUGAUGCAGAUUUAUUAUUUAUGCGAAUGCAUUAAUAACAAUUCUAUUAAGCUGAUGCUUCAAUUUAUGAAGUUAUU